rnacentral:rRNA from 1 species
AUUUCCUACGGGACGCAGCAGUGGGGAAUAUUGCACAAUGGGGGAAACCCUGAUGCAGCAACGCCGCGUGAGUGAAGAAGUAUUUCGGUAUGUAAAGCUCUAUCAGCAGGGAAGAAAAUGACGGUACCUGAGUAAGAAGCCCCGGCUAACUACGUGCCAGCAGCCGCGGUAAUACGUAGGGGGCAAGCGUUAUCCGGAUUUACUGGGUGUAAAGGGAGCGUAGGUGGCAGGGCAAGUCAGAUGUGAAAACCCGGGGCUCAACUCCGGGAGUGCAUUUGAAACUGUCCAGCUAGAGUGCAGGAGAG